rnacentral:lncRNA from 1 species
UGGUGCCAUACCAGCCUCACUGACUCAGAAUUUGGGGGGGUGGGGGCUGAGGAGGACAGCAGGAGGCCCAGAAAUCUGAAUUUUACUAAGUGUCCAGGUGAUUCCGACAUCCAGACAGUCGAGACACUUGUUGUAAAUCCCUUACAGGUCACUUAACAUGGAGUGAUUUAGCAUAGACAGAAUGGAAUCUCUUCCAAAAUUCAUGCACCAUUGAAGAAAGAAUCUUCCAUAUCAACCAGCUAUUCAGUGUACCGUGGAUUUUCUGAUUCACGUCUUAAUAGAGAAGGUGGCUUAUGAACACAUUUCAAGAAAAAUACAAAAUAGUGAAAGCACCGAAGUCAUCUUAGAAAGGGUGAAAACAACUUCUUUUUCUUCACUAGAGAAGAGAUUGGCGGAGACGCAGAGGGAAAAUGGAGUAAUUUUCUGAAAGAUUAUUGACACAUCUGGAUUUGGCCUUAGGAAUUGUAAGUUGCUGCAGGGGCAUUUAUUUUUUGAAUCAACUCUUCAGACCACCCUGGAACUCAUGCAACUAGCUUGGAGAGAA